GCCACACUGGAACUGAGACACGGUCCAGACUCCUACGGGAGGCAGCAGUGGGGAAUAUUGCACAAUGGGCGCAAGCCUGAUGCAGCCAUGCCGCGUGUAUGAAGAAGGCCUUCGGGUUGUAAAGUACUUUCAGUCGUGAGGAAGGUAGUGUAGUUAAUAGCUGCAUUAUUUGACGUUAGCGACAGAAGAAGCACCGGCUAACUCCGUGCCAGCAGCCGCGGUA
rnacentral:rRNA from 1 species